rnacentral:misc_RNA from 1 species
GCCAAAUUUAGGAGCCAGAACAAGUAAUUGCUAACAGAAGAUAUUGACAACAUGAAAAUAAAAUAAAAAAUCACAAACAGUAUUUGUACAUAUUUUUUGUGUAAAGAAAAGAGAGUGGGACUACCGUGCAGAUGGAAGUCCAAGGACCCAUUGCAUACGUACUCAUAGACCGAUAUUCUCUUCUUGCUAUCAAUACAAAACCCAAUAAAAAACACAACAUUUCUGUGUUGCGCACAGCUCAAUACCUUCACUUCCCUGCAGAAAUCAGCAU